AGAUCGCGACGCUGUCGUGCCCGCUGGAGCCGUCGUUCACGAGGGAGGACCGGGACGACAUGUGGCAGGAGCUGGUAGCGCUUUUGAACGAAGUCCCUGCGCGUAACACCACAGCCUUGCCAAACUCCGAGAGCAGCAGAGGUGAGCCCUGCUCCAGCUGCUGCUGGUGUGGCUGAAGAGGAUGUGGCCCAGGAUCUUCCCCGUGCCCCAACACCUCAUGCCGCAGCUGCGAGAUGGGGGCAACCGGCAGGCCGAGGCGCUGGAGUUACCAGCCGCAAAC